rnacentral:lncRNA from 1 species
CUGAGCAUGAGGCCAAAUUGAGCCAAACUGGGCCAGGCUUUGGAGUCCACAUGCUUCUGCCUGAGCCCUGCCUCUGCUCCUUACCACCUUGGUAACUCUGGGAAAAUUACUUAGCCUCUCUAAGUCUGUGAAAAAGACGCUCAGCUGCCAAAAGGGAGUUCUCAAGGGUUUCUGUCUCAGAGGGGAAUGUUAGGCUCAACUGACAUAACUGAUAUGCAAAUGUGUUGAAAGCUGUUGGGUGUUGCACAUGUUAAGAAAAUUAUUCCAGUCUCAAGUUCAAAGUGAAAGGGCUCUAAGUCAUUUCCUGCAUCCUUGGAUCUGGUGAGAGAUGGGGAGGUGGAGGAGAGACUUAUCCAAAUAGAUAAGGUUCCUCUUGUUUAACAUGGCUGAGUCACACACUCACUCAUCCAUGUACGGUCAUUGAUUCAUUCGUUCAGUCUACAACUAUUGAGUCCUUGCUACAUACCAGACACUUUUCUAGGUUCUGGGGGCAAAUAUGAAGAUAGGGAGACUCCAAUGGAUGGAAUUUCUAUAAUUCAAGCAAGAGAUGAUGAUGUCCAGAGAUAAUGACAGCACACAAAGGAAUGAAGACUGAAGAAAAGUACACAGAGUUAAUUGAUAUACGGGAAGUUGAAGGAACAGGAUAAGGUUUUUUGGAUAAGGGAAGAAGAAUCUGGCAAGAGAAAAGAUAGAGUCAAGCACAAAUCCCAUUUUCUGGCUUGAGCCAAGAGGUAGAUAAUGGUGCCAAACACAGAGUUGGGGACCCUGGAAGAGGAGCAGUUUGAGCAGGAAACAUGGGGAUAACACGAUCAAGUCUGCAUUUUCAAGAGAUUACCCUGGGAACAUUGUGGAAACUGGAUUGAAGAAAGAAACUGGUUAGAGCUUUUGUGUGAGAGCAUCAGUACAUUUCCUGAUGAUUUCUUCACUUGCUGUAGAGAUCCAAGACUGGAAGAGAACCAGGCUUGUAGUCUAUUCGAUCAUUAACCCUUGCUAAGUCUUUGUGCACCUACGUUUUACAGAUUUCAGCGUAAAAGGAAUUUCACCAUAGCCUUACUUUCCUCAGUAUAUUCCGCAAGGAUGCAAUAAGAAGUCGGUAUAACACGUUGGAAAGUAUUCAGUGGGCUUUAUGGAGAGUUAUUUUUCAUGCACAGUAGGAAAGGGUCUUUGGUAGAAUCAAGCUGAGAGACAGAAACCUUAUUAGCAUAAGAGUUCAUCUAAGUUUGAUCAUGGAAAGCCAACACUGUUAGCGAGAGAAAGGUUUGUCUGGUAGAGGCAAUACCUGAAGUCUCUGAAAGAUCUAAAUCAAUUCUCCUAUGAGAGAGACUGCAGAUCUGCCAGUGCCCUUCCAGGAAAGAGUGAAAAACCACAAUCAGUAUGGUCUUCAGAACCUUGAAAAGUCUUCAAACUCCAAUGUGUGUUUUGCGCUUAACCAUAUCUCAAUUUGGACUAGUUACGUUUCAAAUGCUCAAUAGCCACAUGUGGCUACCAUAUUGGACAGUACAGUUCUCGACUGUGUUGUCUUAAUCAUCUCAUGAAAGUAAUUAAGUGCUCUGAGAAUUCAUCACUCUCCAGAACCUCUGAUUCCUUAACAGCAAAAUUGCCCCACACCUAGGAUGUUAUCAGAAGACCAGGCAGCCGACAACAUUUUAUAAACUGGACUGGGCCAACUGAUGCUCAGAAUGUCGUCUCCACCCCAGCCCAGCUGGCAACGGCCCCACCUUGAGUGGUCAACAGCAGAGCUAUGCUCACUGCUUCCCAGAGCCCACAACCAAGGACUAACUGCUGUUCAAUCUGGAUCCUUAAAGAAUAGUCAAAGAGAACUUUCCUGCCAGCUUCAUGUGCUGUUUCAGCUGCACUUUGUGCACCUAAUGCUGCUUCUCACAGAAUUACCCUCCACUGUCCAGAGUCUCCACAACUAUCUCAGAGAUGAAAGGCUUUGUGACCCGUGCUACCUGUUGUCAACUACCACAGGAGGCCCCGGUGGAGACAUCUGCCGGAGUGCAUCCCACAGAGUUUGGACCGUCUGGAGGGGCAGCUGAGCUGAAUCUCACUGGGUGAUAUAUUCAUCCCUUUCCCCUGGAUUCAUGCAUUUUCCUGAACAUCAAAACUGAGGUGGAGUGAAUGUGCUCCCUUCCUCAUCACAAAGACUUCGAUGAAUGUCUUCUCUUGGGGUAGAGGAUAGAAUUUCUUUCUGAGGCUAAAGUGGCC